GUAGGUGGCAAGCGUUGUCCGGAAUUAUUGGGGCGUAAAGCGCGCGCAGGCGGGGUCCUUUAAGUCUGAUGUGAAAGCCCACGGGCUCAACCGUGGAGGGUCAUUGGAAACUGGGGGACUUGAGUACAGAAGAGGAAAGCGGAAUUCCAAGUGUAGCGGUGAAAUGCGUAGAGAUUUGGAGGAACACCAGUGGCGAAGGCGGCUUUCUGGUCUGUAACUGACGCUGAGGCGCGAAAGCGUGGGGAGCAAACAGGAUUAGAUACCCUGGUAGUCCACGCCGUAAACGAUGAGUGCUAAGUGUUAGGGGGGUUUCCGCCCCUUAGUGCUGCAGCUAACGCAUUAAGCACUCCGCCUGGGGAGUACGGCCGCAAAGGCUG
rnacentral:rRNA from 1 species